UGCCGCUGCACUCCAGCCUGGCGCCUGGUGACAGAGUGAGACUGUGUCUCAAAAAAAAAAAAAAAGAAAAAAAAAAAAAAAGAAUGUCAUCAGUACAGAACUGUUGGAGUCCUUCUUUGCCAGCCUCAGUAUUGAGUCUGUGUAGAAAGUCCCCGGCAAGUAGCUACGUGCAGGUGGUUGCUCAGAGAGCAUUUUCUGACAAUCUGUGCCUGGAACAUUCAUUGAGGAGGCUGUUCAUUGGCUUUUUGUGGCAGGAGGCUUCUGUGACCGUGGAAGAUUGGGAAAGAUUGUAGUAAGGAUAGUAAUGCAGGUUGCUUUGCUGCAGGACUUCUCAGGUAAUUUAAUAGUCCCCUCUGAACAGAAUGGGAAACUUCUCCACUGUGCACUUACACAUCCCAUUAGAAAGUGAGGGAAAGAGGAAAAUGGGUGUGUGUCGGAGGGUCUGUUUGCACAGGGGAGAGGGGUGUGAGGGCGGAUAAAGGUUGACUCUCCUGAGUUGGCUAUCAUAAUGAUUUCCCCGAAGCUUGAUGAGGGCUGUGCUGCUGUUCGGGGGUGUGUUGGGAGGGAAAUCUCAGACCGCAAAGAUGAGUUCCACAUGAGGAGUCACACACCUGCUAUGAAGUAGUAGAAGGAAAAGCUCUGUCAAUUUAGAUGACAACUAUUUUCCUUGCUUCUUUAUUUAUUGGAAAAGAAGAAUUUGUGGAUGAAAGAAUUCCUUGGGGAUAAAAUGCCAUUUAGUUUAAUGUGACAACAAUAUGUUUUCAAGUCACCAUAAAUGAAAAUGUUUACUAGAAACAAUGGCAUUUACAUUUACGGACAUGAAUUUUGUGUAGUAUUUAAGAGAGUGAUGAUAUAUGGGCAUGUGGGAUGGUUUUCUUUCCAUGAAUUUGGGAAUAAUAGAAUUGUCACCCACAAAUGUUUAUUUUUUGUUUUCACUUACAUAUAGGGUUUUUACUCUGUUGCCCAGGCUGGAGUGCAGUAUCCUUUGGCCCAGUCAUAGGCCACUAAAGCCUUGAACUCCUGGGCUCAAAUGAGUCUUCCACUUCAGCCUCCUGAGUAGCUAAGGCUACAAGUGUGU